AACGCGAAGAACCUUACCUGGCCUUGACAUCCUGGGGAUCCUGCCGAGAGGUGGGAGUGCCUUCGGGAGCCCAGUGACAGGUGCUGCAUGGCUGUCGUCAGCUCGUGUGGUGACAUGUUGGGUUAAGUCCCGCAACGAGCGCAACCCUUGUCUUUAGUUGCCAGCAUUCAGUUGGGCACUCUAAAGAGACUGCCGUGGUUAACACGGAGGAAGGUGGGGAUGACGUCAAGUCCUCAUGGCCUUUAUAUCCAGGGCGACACACGUGAUACAAUGGAUGGUACAGAGGGAAGCCAAGAGGCAACUCGGAGCUAAUCACAAAAGGCCAUUCUCAGUUCGGAUUGGAGUCUGCAACUCGACUCCAUGAAGUUGGAAUCGCUAGUAAUCGCGGAUCAGCACGCCGCGGUGAAUACGUUCCCGGGCCUUGUACACACCG
rnacentral:rRNA from 1 species